rnacentral:rRNA from 2 species
CCGAAUAGGGGAGCCGGAGGGAAACCGAGUCUUAAUUGGGCGUUAAGUUGCAGGGUAUAGACCCGAAACCCGGUGAUCUAGCCAUGGGCAGGUUGAAGGUUGGGUAACACUAACUGGAGGACCGAACCGACUAAUGUUGAAAAAUUAGCGGAUGACCUGUGGCUGGGGGUGAAAGGCCAAUCAAACCGGGAGAUAGCUGGUUCUCCCCGAAAGCUAUUUAGGUAGCGCCUCGUGAAUUCAUCUCCGGGGGUAGAGCACUGUUUCGGCUAGGGGGCCAUCCCGGCUUACCAACCCGAUGCAAACUGCGAAUACCGGAGAAUGUUAUCACGGGAGACACACGGCGGGUGCUAACGUCCGUCGUGAAGAGGGAAACAACCCAGACCGCCAGCUAAGGUCCCAAAGUCAUGGUUAAGUGGGAAACGAUGUGGGAAGGCCCAGACAGCCAGGAUGUUGGCUUAGAAGCAGCCAUCAUUUAAAGAAAGCGUAAUAGCUCACUGGUCGAGUCGGCCUGCGCGGAAGAUGUAACGGGGCUAAACCAUGCACCGAAGCUGCGGCAGCGACACUGUGUGUUGUUGGGUAGGGGAGCGUUCUGUAAGCCUGCGAAGGUGGCCUGUGAGGGUUGCUGGAGGUAUCAGAAGUGCGAAUGCUGACAUAAGUAACGAUAAAGCGGGUGAAAAGCCCGCUCGCCGGAAGACCAAGGGUUCCUGUCCAACGUUAAUCGGGGCAGGGUGAGUCGACCCCUAAGGCGAGGCCGAAAGGCGUAGUCGAUGGGAAACGGGUUAAUAUUCCCGUACUUGGUGUUACUGCGAAGGGGGGACGGAGAAGGCUAUGUUGGCCGGGCGACGGUUGUCCCGGUUUAAGCGUGUAGGUGUGUGUUCCAGGUAAAUCCGGUUCACUUUAACACUGAGGCGUGACGACGAGGCACUACGGUGCUGAAGCAACAAAUGCCCUGCUUCCAGGAAAAGCCUCUAAGCAUCAGGUAACAUCAAAUCGUACCCCAAACCGACACAGGUGGUCAGGUAGAGAAUACCAAGGCGCUUGAGAGAACUCGGGUGAAGGAACUAGGCAAAAUGGUGCCGUAACUUCGGGAGAAGGCACGCUGACACGUAGGUGAAGUGAUUUACUCAUGGAGCUGAAGUCAGUCGAAGAUACCAGCUGGCUGCAACUGUUUAUUAAAAACACAGCACUGUGCAAACACGAAAGUGGACGUAUACGGUGUGACGCCUGCCCGGUGCCGGAAGGUUAAUUGAUGGGGUCAGCGCAAGCGAAGCUCCUGAUCGAAGCCCCGGUAAACGGCGGCCGUAACUAUAACGGUCCUAAGGUAGCGAAAUUCCUUGUCGGGUAAGUUCCGACCUGCACGAAUGGCGUAAUGAUGGCCAGGCUGUCUCCACCCGAGACUCAGUGAAAUUGAACUCGCUGUGAAGAUGCAGUGUACCCGCGGCAAGACGGAAAGACCCCGUGAACCUUUACUAUAGCUUGACACUGAACAUUGAGCCUUGAUGUGUAGGAUAGGUGGGAGGCUUUGAAGUGUGGACGCCAGUCUGCAUGGAGCCGACCUUGAAAUACCACCCUUUAAUGUUUGAUGUUCUAACGUGGACCCGUUACCCGGGUUGCGGACAGUGUCUGGUGGGUAGUUUGACUGGGGCGGUCUCCUCCUAAAGAGUAACGGAGGAGCACGAAGGUUGGCUAAUCCUGGUCGGACAUCAGGAGGUUAGUGCAAUGGCAUAAGCCAGCUUGACUGCGAGCGUGACGGCGCGAGCAGGUGCGAAAGCAGGUCAUAGUGAUCCGGUGGUUCUGAAUGGAAGGGCCAUCGCUCAACGGAUAAAAGGUACUCCGGGGAUAACAGGCUGAUACCGCCCAAGAGUUCAUAUCGACGGCGGUGUUUGGCACCUCGAUGUCGGCUCAUCACAUCCUGGGGCUGAAGUAGGUCCCAAGGGUAUGGCUGUUCGCCAUUUAAAGUGGUACGCGAGCUGGGUUUAGAACGUCGUGAGACAGUUCGGUCCCUAUCUGCCGUGGGCGCUGGAGAACUGAGGGGGGCUGCUCCUAGUACGAGAGGACCGGAGUGGACGCAUCACUGGUGUUCGGGUUGUCAUGCCAAUGGCACUGCCCGGUAGCUAAAUGCGGAAGAGAUAAGUGCUGAAAGCAUCUAAGCACGAAACUUGCCCCGAG